AGUGAACGCUGGCGGUAGGCCUAACACAUGCAAGUCGAACGGCAGCACAGUAAGAGCUUGCUCUUACGGGUGGCGAGUGGCGGACGGGUGAGGAAUAAAUCGGAAUCUACUUUUUCGUGGGGGAUAACGUAGGGAAACUUACGCUAAUACUGCAUACGACCUACGGGUGAAAGCAGGGGAUCUUCGGACCUUGCGCGAUUGAAUGAGCCGAUGUCGGAUUAGCUAGUUGGCGGGGUAAAGGCCCACCAAGGCGACGAUCCGUAGCUGGUCUGAGAGGAUGAUCAGCCACACUGGAACUGAGACACGGUCCAGACUCCUACGGGAGGCAGCAGUGGGGAAUAUUGGACAAUGGGCGCAAGCCUGAUCCAGCCAUACCGCGUGGGUGAAGAAGGCCUUCGGGUUGUAAAGCCCUUUUGUUGGGAAAGAAAAGCAGCAGGUUAAUACCCCGCUGUUCUGACGGUACCCAAAGAAUAAGCACCGGCUAACUUCGUG
rnacentral:rRNA from 1 species